UACGAAGGGGGCUAGCGUUGUUCGGAUUUACUGGGCGUAAAGCGCACGUAGGCGGAUCGUUAAGUCGGGGGUGAAAUCCUGGAGCUCAACUCCAGAACUGCCUUCGAUACUGGCGAUCUUGAGUCCGGAAGAGGUGAGUGGAACUCCGAGUGUAGAGGUGAAAUUCGUAGAUAUUCGGAAGAACACCAGUGGCGAAGGCGGCUCACUGGCUCGGUACUGACGCUGAGGUGCGAAAGCGUGGGGAGCAAACAGG
rnacentral:rRNA from 1 species